GACGUUCACACGUGACGCGCCUCCUCCUCCUCCUCCGCGGCGUCUCCGGAUGGCUGCUGGGCGGCCGCGCUGCUGCUGCUGCUGCUGCUGCUGCUCCGGUCCAGGCUGAGCCCCGCCAGGCAGGUGCUGCCAAGAUGCCUGAGCAGAGCAACGACUACCGGGUGGUGGUGUUUGGCGCGGGGGGCGUGGGCAAGAGCUCUCUGGUGCUGCGCUUCGUGAAGGGCACCUUCCGCGACACGUACAUCCCCACCAUUGAGGACACGUACCGGCAGGUGAUCAGCUGCGACAAGAGCGUGUGCACGCUGCAGAUCACCGACACGACGGGCAGCCACCAGUUCCCGGCCAUGCAGCGCCUCUCCAUCUCCAAGGGCCACGCCUUCGUGCUGGUCUUCUCCAUCACCUCGCGCCAGUCGCUGGAGGAGCUGCGCCCCAUCUACCAGCAGAUCGUGCACAUCAAGGGCAGUGUGGAGAGCAUCCCCAUCAUGCUGGUGGGCAACAAGUGCGACGAGACGCAGCGCGAGGUGCCCACGCAGGAGGGAGAGGCCACCGCCAAGGAGUGGAAGUGCGCCUUCAUGGAGACCUCUGCCAAGAUGAACUACAACGUCAAGGAGCUCUUCCAGGAGCUGCUCAACCUGGAGAAGAAGCGCAACAUGAGUCUCAACAUCGACGGCAAGCGCUCCUCCAAGCAGAAGAGGACAGACAAAAUCAAGGGCAAGUGCAGCCUGAUGUGAGGAGGCCACGCCCACCCACCAAGCCCCACCCCACCCAGCCCACCGCUUGGCUCCGCCUUCCCUGCUCCUCCUCCUCCUCCUUGGCGGCGUCCUGGCGGCGCUAUGGGAACUGUGCCACGUCUCGGUGGCGCUUGGGGAGCUGGACUAUAUCCCAGCAGCACUAUGGGCACUGCACCACCUCUUCCUAGCACUGUGGGGACUGUGCUACAUCCUGGCAGCGCUAUGGGAGCUGUGCUGCAUCCUAGUGGUGCUGUGGGCGCUGUAGAGCCUCUUAACAGCACAAUCUGCUACAUCUGAGCUGCGCUGUGGGCGCUGCACUGCCUCUCUGCAGGGCUAUGGGAGCUGUACGACAUCUUGGCAACAAUAUGGAACUGUGCUGCCUCCUCGUGGCGCUAUGGGCGCUGUAGGGCCUCUGAGCAGCGCAGGGGGAGCUGUCCUACAUCUUAUCAGCCCUGUGGACGUGGCACUGCAUCUCAGCAGGGCUUGGGGAGUUGUACGACGUCCCGGCAAUGCAGCGGGCACUGGGCAGCCUCUCGACAGCACCAUGGGAACUGCGCUACGUCCUGUCAGCGCUAUGGGAGCCGCACUGCCUCUCAACAAGGCACUGGGAACCGCAGGAUACCUUAGCACCUUAGCAGCUACGGGAGCUGCCCCUCCGACCCACUGGCUCCCCACAAGUGGGAGACGAGACUCGCUCUGCUUCCCUGCCCCACCUCCCACUUGUUCCCCUUGAACACAAGGACUUUUCGGGGUUGGGGUCCCUUGGUGCUGUCACUCGGGAGGGCUUCUGCAACCAAGGCGGGGCUGCCGCAGCAAACUUGGGGGCCAGCAGGACCAAGGAGGUUGCCCCCCAGACUCACCCAUUUUGAGUCCCGAAUCUCCUUGCUGGACUCUGGAGGGGGGCGAAGAAAAGAGGAUCUUCUGUGACCUCCCCAUCCUGCAUUUAUUGCCCGCCCCCCGCUCACCCUCCAGACUUUGGCCUGCGAAGAUGUUGGGGGCAGCCCUGCCAUGCCGCUGGGUUUCCCUGCCCUACCUGCUUGAAAGGAAACACCCGGUGGAGAUGACUGCUGCUCCAGUGCCCUCCUCACAGGGACGUCACGGGUCUCCUUUGUGGGCUUGUGGAGGCACAGGGGGAGCGUCAAGGCAAGGGGCGCCUCCUGGCCUCUCCUGCAGCCCAGAGGCCUGGCCAAUGGGCGCCCAGCAAGGCCACAGAGGAGAAACUAAGGUUUCCGGGGGCACACAGAGCAGCUCCCCCUUCCCCAACAAAGCGCCCUUCUCAACAUGCCAAACACUGAAGGUGGCAAACGUCCCCGUGAACUUUUGAACAUGUCAUUAAUUUUUUAUUUUCAGGGUGGGCGGGGGGGGGAAUGGGCUUGAUUUUUUAAAGCUGCAUAAAACCAUAAGGCACAACAGAACAUUUCUGCCAGUGAGGUGAGUACGGAGGGGAGUGAGGAAGGGAGAGGGGGCUGGGGUUGGGUUUGAGAAGGGGCAAUGGAGGCGCCAGCCCGGCCUUAAGAUGGACUCCCCAAACCUGGUUCUCGCCAGGCGCUUCCUUUCCCAUUCAUUUUCUUGCACCUUUUCUCUCUCUCCAAGGAGCUUGCAGGGGGGUGGGCUAGAUGACCCCUGGGGUCCCUUCCAACCCUACAAUUCUAUGCCAUUUUCCCACAAUGAGCUGUGCUCAAAACAGCUUACAGCAAACAUCCAAAACACAGAAACACAGAGCAUGAGAAGUACAAAUAUACAAAAUGCAGAGCAUGUCGGAAGAUUAAGAAGUGACAAACAUAGCAUAGCAUUCUCCUUUGAAGCAAAUUGUGCCUUCUAGAUUUCUUUCAGAGUGAUAGCCUGUAUUUGAAGAAAGGGAAUGUAAAUAUUUAAGUUUAAAGAUACAUUAGCAGGAGAUGCCUGAGCUGCUCUUGCUCACCUGGGCGCCCUGAGAGGCAGGGGCAGGAGGGGAGUGGGUCACUCCAGGGAAAGAAGGAA